GAAUACCGCGAACAGUAUUUACAGAAAUAUCGCGAACUGUAUCAUAGAAUAUUAUGAACUGUAUUUACAUAAAUGCUGCGAACUGUAUUCCUUAAGAUUCUAAAAAUCUUGUAUGUAGAAGGUCGUGAUCGUAAAUCAGUGGACCAUGAGAUUCGUAAAAUCUUGAAAGUAGAAGGUCGUGAUCGUAAAUUAGCAGACCGUGAGAUUCACAAAAUCUCAAAAAUAAAAGGUCGUGAUUGUAAAUCAGUGGACCGUGAGAUUUGUAAAAUCUCGAAAGUAAAAGGUCGUGAUCAUAAAUCAACGGAUCGUGAGAUUUGUAAAAUCUCGAAAGUAGAAGGUCUGAU
rnacentral:lncRNA from 1 species